AAUUAUAUAUAUAUAUAUAUAUAUAUAUAUAGAGAGAGAGAGAGAGAGAGAGAGAGAGAGAGAGAGAGAGAGAGAGCGCGCGCGCGCUAGACUCCCACGCUUUUGAAAGUACGAAAGUCUUUGUGCUUGUAAAUUAUUUUCGAUGAUGGACAUCCGAUUCGAUGAUCGACUCUGUUAGGCAUGAUUUACGCUAUUAAAAUUAUUUAUAAACUAUAUCUCGUAAUUUUUUUUAUUUCGUUUGCCUAGUAAACGAGUAUCUUCAAAAUAAAUGGCUAAAAUUAAAAUUUUCAUAAUAAAAGACUCAAAUUUCAAAUCGAAAGUAUCGUAUUUAUUAAAGUUUCACGUAAUUUGGAUUCUUCUAUACUAUUUAACAUAUAAACGUGUCACAUCGGCUGUUAAAAUAGUCAUUUUUUAGACUCUUUAACCACUUAAUAAAUGACGCUGAAAACUUAUAAAAUUUGGUCUAAAUAAUUUUAAUAGCGUAGAUCAUACUUAACGAAGCCGAUCGUCGAAACAGAUGUCCUAUUAUUGAAAACAACUUACAAGCAUAGUUAGUUAAUUCGGAUUCGGCAAAAAUUCGGAACGGGUAUAAUUCGGAUAAAAUUCGUUUUUUAACUUUUAAAUUCUUUGAAAAAUACGACUAAAAAACGGAUGUGGUAAUUAUUCGGAUACGUAAUUUAUACGGAUAUUAUACGUUUACCAAUUAAAAAUUCAGAAUAAAAAAUUCGGCUAUAUAAUAAAUAUAUAAUAAUUAAUAUACUAUAUAUAUUAUUUUUAUGCUUUUUUAUAUAAAUUAAAUAUAUUCAAAAUUAUAAUAAAUAAAUAUAUAUUAAUAAUAUAUAAGAAUUAUGUAUUUAGAAAUAUUAAUAAAUAAUUAUAAAUUUAUAAAUAAAAAACUAUAUAUAAUAAAUAAAUGAAUAUAUAUUUAUAAAUAAAAUU
rnacentral:lncRNA from 1 species